rnacentral:rRNA from 1 species
GACGAACGCUGGCGGCGUGCUUAACACAUGCAAGUCGAGCGCUGAAGCUUCUUCGGGGGUGGAUGAGCGGCGAACGGGUGAGUAACACGUGGGUGACCUGCCCUCAGCUCUGGGAUAAGCCUGGGAAACUGGGUCUAAUACCGGAUAUGACCUGCCAUCGCAUGGUGGUUGGUGGAAAGUUCCUGGCUUUUUGGUUGGGUUCGGUUGGGGAUGGGCCCGCGGCCUAUCAGCUGUUGGUGGGGUGAUGGCUUACCAAGGCGACGACGGUAGCCGGCCUGAGAGGGCGACCGGCCACACUGGGACUGAGACACGGCCCAGACUCCUACGGGAGGCAGCAGUGGGGAAUAUUGCGCAAUGGGGCGGAAGCCUGACGCAGCGACGCCGCGUGGGGGA